UACGUAGGGGGCAAGCGUUGUCCGGAAUCAUUGGGCGUAAAGCGCGUGUAGACGGCCCGGUAAGUCCGCUGUGAAAGUCGGGGGCUCAACCCUCGGAUGCCGGUGGAUACUGUCGGGCUAGAGUGCGGAAGAGGCGAGUGGAAUUCCUGGUGUAGCGGUGAAAUGCGCAGAUAUCAGGAGGAACACCAAUUGCGAAGGCAGCUCGCUGGGACGUUACUGACGCUGAGACGCGAAAGCGUGGGGAGCAAACAGG
rnacentral:rRNA from 1 species